rnacentral:rRNA from 1 species
GACGAACGCUGGCGGCGUGCUUAACACAUGCAAGUCGAACGGAAAGGCCCUGCUUUUGUGGGGUGCUCGAGUGGCGAACGGGUGAGUAACACGUGAGUAACCUGCCCUUGACUUUGGGAUAACUUCAGGAAACUGGGGCUAAUACCGGAUAGGAGCUCCUGCUGCAUGGUGGGGGUUGGAAAGUUUCGGCGGUUGGGGAUGGACUCGCGGCUUAUCAGCUUGUUGGUGGGGUAGUGGCUUACCAAGGCUUUGACGGGUAUCCGGCCUGAGAGGGUGACCGGCCACAUUGGGACUGAGAUACGGCCCAGACUCCUACGGGAGACAGCAGUGGGGAAUAUUGCACAAUGGGCGGAAGCCUGAUGCAGCAACGCCGCGUGCGGGAUGACGGCCUUCGGGUUGUAAACCGCUUUCGCCUGUGACGAAGCGUGAGUGACGGUAAUGGGUAAAGAAGCACCGGCUAACUACGUG